rnacentral:rRNA from 1 species
UACGAAGGGGGCUAGCGUUGCUCGGAAUCACUGGGCGUAAAGCGCACGUAGGCGGAUUGUUAAGUCAGGGGUGAAAUCCUGGAGCUCAACUCCAGAACUGCCUUGAUACUGGCGAUCUUGAGUCCGGGAGAGGUGAGUGGAACUGCGAGUGUAGAGGUGAAAUUCGUAGAUAUUCGCAAGAACACCAGUGGCGAAGGCGGCUCACUGGCCCGGUACUGACGCUGAGGUGCGAAAGCGUGGGGAGCAACAGG